rnacentral:rRNA from 1 species
CAGCAGUGGGGAAUAUUGCACAAUGGGCGCAAGCCUGAUGCAGCCAUGCCGCGUGUAUGAAGAAGGCCUUCGGGUUGUAAAGUACUUUCAGCAGUGAGGAAGGUGGAUAUGUUAAUAGCAUAUUCAUUUGACGUUAGCUGCAGAAGAAGCACCGGCUAACUCCGUGCCAGCAGCCGCGGUAAUACGGAGGGUGCGAGCGUUAAUCGGAAUUACUGGGCGUAAAGCGCAUGCAGGUGGUUUGUUAAGUCAGAUGUGAAAGCCCGGGGCUCAACCUCGGAAUUGCAUUUGAAACUGGCAAACUAGAGUACUGUAGAGGGGGUAGAAUUUCAGGUGUAGCGGUGAAAUGCGUAGAGAUCUGAAGGAAUACCGGUGGCGAUGGCGGCCCCCUGGACAGAUACUGACACUCAGAUGCGAAAGCGUGGGGAGCAAACAGGAUUAGAUACCCUGGUAG